GUUAAGCGACUAAGCGUACACGGUGGAUGCCCUGGCAGUCAGAGGCGAUGAAGGACGUGCUAAUCUGCGAUAAGCGUCGGUAAGGUGAUAUGAACCGUUAUAACCGGCGAUUUCCGAAUGGGGAAACCCAGUGUGUUUCGACACACUAUCAUUAACUGAAUCCAUAGGUUAAUGAGGCGAACCGGGGGAACUGAAACAUCUAAGUACCCCGAGGAAAAGAAAUCAACCGAGAUUCCCCCAGUAGCGGCGAGCGAACGGGGAGCAGCCCAGAGCCUGAAUCAGUGUGUGUGUUAGUGGAAGCGUCUGGAAAGGCGCGCGAUACAGGGUGACAGCCCCGUACACAAAAAUGCACAUGCUGUGAGCUCGAUGAGUAGGGCGGGACACGUGGUAUCCUGUCUGAAUAUGGGGGGACCAUCCUCCAAGGCUAAAUACUCCUGACUGACCGAUAGUGAACCAGUACCGUGAGGGAAAGGCGAAAAGAACCCCGGCGAGGGGAGUGAAAAAGAACCUGAAACCGUGUACGUACAAGCAGUGGGAGCACGCUUAGGCGUGUGACUGCGUACCUUUUGUAUAAUGGGUCAGCGACUUAUAUUCUGUAGCAAGGUUAACCGAAUAGGGGAGCCGAAGGGAAACCGAGUCUUAACUGGGCGUUAAGUUGCAGGGUAUAGACCCGAAACCCGGUGAUCUAGCCAUGGGCAGGUUGAAGGUUGGGUAACACUAACUGGAGGACCGAACCGACUAAUGUUGAAAAAUUAGCGGAUGACUUGUGGCUGGGGGUGAAAGGCCAAUCAAACCGGGAGAUAGCUGGUUCUCCCCGAAAGCUAUUUAGGUAGCGCCUCGUGAAUUCAUCUCCGGGGGUAGAGCACUGUUUCGGCAAGGGGGUCAUCCCGACUUACCAACCCGAUGCAAACUGCGAAUACCGGAGAAUGUUAUCACGGGAGACACACGGCGGGUGCUAACGUCCGUCGUGAAGAGGGAAACAACCCAGACCGCCAGCUAAGGUCCCAAAGUCAUGGUUAAGUGGGAAACGAUGUGGGAAGGCCCAGACAGCCAGGAUGUUGGCUUAGAAGCAGCCAUCAUUUAAAGAAAGCGUAAUAGCUCACUGGUCGAGUCGGCCUGCGCGGAAGAUGUAACGGGGCUAAACCAUGCACCGAAGCUGCGGCAGCGACGCUUAUGCGUUGUUGGGUAGGGGAGCGUUCUGUAAGCCUGCGAAGGUGUGCUGUGAGGCAUGCUGGAGGUAUCAGAAGUGCGAAUGCUGACAUAAGUAACGAUAAAGCGGGUGAAAAGCCCGCUCGCCGGAAGACCAAGGGUUCCUGUCCAACGUUAAUCGGGGCAGGGUGAGUCGACCCCUAAGGCGAGGCCGAAAGGCGUAGUCGAUGGGAAACAGGUUAAUAUUCCUGUACUUGGUGUUACUGCGAAGGGGGGACGGAGAAGGCUAUGUUGGCCGGGCGACGGUUGUCCCGGUUUAAGCGUGUAGGCUGGUUUUCCAGGCAAAUCCGGAAAAUCAAGGCUGAGGCGUGAUGACGAGGCACUACGGUGCUGAAGCAACAAAUGCCCUGCUUCCAGGAAAAGCCUCUAAGCAUCAGGUAACAUCAAAUCGUACCCCAAACCGACACAGGUGGUCAGGUAGAGAAUACCAAGGCGCUUGAGAGAACUCGGGUGAAGGAACUAGGCAAAAUGGUGCCGUAACUUCGGGAGAAGGCACGCUGAUAUGUAGGUGAAGCGACUUGCUCGUGGAGCUGAAAUCAGUCGAAGAUACCAGCUGGCUGCAACUGUUUAUUAAAAACACAGCACUGUGCAAACACGAAAGUGGACGUAUACGGUGUGACGCCUGCCCGGUGCCGGA
rnacentral:rRNA from 1 species